UACGAAGGGGGCUAGCGUUGCUCGGAAUCACUGGGCGUAAAGCGCACGUAGGCGGCUUUCUAAGUCAGGGGUGAAAUCCUGGAGCUCAACUCCAGAACUGCCCUUGAUACUGGAGAGCUUGAGUUCGGGAGAGGUGAGUGGAACUGCGAGUGUAGAGGUGAAAUUCGUAGAUAUUCGCAAGAACACCAGUGGCGAAGGCGGCUCACUGGCCUGAUACUGACGCUGAGGUGCGAAAGCGUGGGGAGCAAACAGG
rnacentral:rRNA from 1 species